rnacentral:rRNA from 1 species
UACGUAGGGUGCAAGCGUUAAUCGGAAUUACUGGGCGUAAAGCGUGCGCAGGCGGUUUUGUAAGUCUGUCGUGAAAGCCCCGGGCUCAACCUGGGAAUUGCGAUGGAGACUGCAAGGCUUGAAUCUGGCAGAGGGGGGUAGAAUUCCACGUGUAGCAGUGAAAUGCGUAGAGAUGUGGAGGAACACCGAUGGCGAAGGCAGCCCCCCUGGGCCGACACUGACGCUCAGGCACGAAAGCGUGGGGAGCAAACAGG